rnacentral:rRNA from 1 species
UACGUAGGGGGCUAGCGUUGUCCGGAAUCAUUGGGCGUAAAGCGCGCGUAGGCGGCCAGAUAAGUCCGGUGUGAAAGUCAAAGGCUCAACCUUUGAAUGCCGCUGGAAACUGUCUGGCUAGAGUCCGGAAGGGGCGAGUGGAACUCCUGGUGUAGCGGUGAAAUGCGCAGAUAUCAGGAAGAACACCAAUGGCGAAGGCAGCUCGCUAGGACGGUACUGACGCUGAGGAGCGAAAGCGUGGGUAGCAAACAGG